CAGAGUUUACAACUCCCAAACCCUUAUGUGAACAUACCAAGAUGUUGCUUCGGCGGACUCGCCCCGGCGUCCGGACGGCCUAGCGCCGCCCGCGGCCCGGACUCAGGCGGCCGCCGGAGACCACCAAACUCUUUUGUAUCAUGAGUAUCUUCUGAAUCCGCCGCAAGGCAAAACAAAUGAAUCA
rnacentral:misc_RNA from 1 species